UUUGUGUGUCAGUGAUGUCACCAAGUGCAGCGUGGGGGACAAUGGAAUCCUGAACUCCAGGCGAGGGCGAGUGGGAAGCGGCUGCUCCUGCUUCUGGUUCAGGGCUAAGCCGAGGCAGGGAAGACACAGCUGCUGCUUUAGGGCUGAAACAGGUUGGGGUGUGUGGUGGGGGGGUCGCUAUGUCGGAUGACGAUUCGAGGGCCAGCACCAGCUCCUCCUCAUCUUCAUCCUCCAACCAACAGACAGAGAAAGAGGCAAGCACGCCUAAGAAGAAGGAAAGCAAAGUCAGCAUGAGUAAAAACUCUAAGUUGCUGUCUACUAGUGCCAAGAGGAUUCAGAAGGAAUUGGCUGACAUCACCUUAGAUCCACCUCCUAACUGCAG